rnacentral:misc_RNA from 1 species
CGAAGUAAAAGUCGUAACAAGGUUUCCGUAGGUGAACCUGCGGAAGGAUCAUUAAAGAGUAAGGGUCUUCGGGCCCGAUCUCCAACCCUUUGUUUAACUACCAUGUUGCUUUGGCGGGCCCGUCUCACGACCGCCGGAAGUUUGGCUUCGACCAAACUUCUGGCCCGUGCCCGUCAGUGGCCCCUUCAAAUUCUUGAUCAAGUAUGAUGUCUUAGUUAAAAACUUAAUAGUUAAAACUUUCAACAACGGAUCUCUUGGUUCUG